UAGGGAAUCUUCCGCAAUGGACGCAAGUCUGACGGAGCAACGCCGCGUGAGUGAAGAAGGAUUUCGGUUCGUAAAACUCUGUUGUUAGAGAAGAACAGCGCAUAGAGUAACUGUUAUGCGUGUGACGGUAUCUAACCAGAAAGCCACGGCUAACUACGUGCCAGCAGCCGCGGUAAUACGUAGGUGGCAAGCGUUGUCCGGAUUUAUUGGGCGUAAAGCGAGCGCAGGCGGUCAAUUAAGUCUGAUGUGAAAGCCCCCGGCUCAACCGGGGAGGGUCAUUGGAAACUGGAUGACUUGAGUGCAGAAGAGGAGGGUGGAAUUCCAUGUGUAGCGGUGAAAUGCGUAGAUAUAUGGAGGAACACCAGUGGCGAAGGCGACUCUCUGGUCUGUAACUGACGCUGAGGCUCGAAAGCGUGGGUAGCAAACAGG
rnacentral:rRNA from 1 species